rnacentral:rRNA from 1 species
GACGAACGCUGGCGGCGCGCUUAACACAUGCAGGUCGAACGGAAAGGCCUGCUUUCCCUUGUGGAUUGCGGGUACUCGAGUGGCGAACGGGUGAGUAACACGUGAGUGAUCUGCCCCCAACUUGGGUAUAAGCCUGGGAAACUGGGUCUAAUUCCCUAUAGGACUGCAGGGUGGUGUCUGUGUUGGAAAAAGAUUUUCGAGUGGUUGGGGAUGAGGUCGCGGCCUAUAAGCUGGUUGGUGGGGGAAUGGCCUACCAAGGGGGGGACGGGUAGCCGGCCUGGGGGGAGGGACGGCCACAUUGGGAAUGAGUGACGGCCCAGACUCCUACGGGAGGCAGGAGUGGGGAAUAUUGCCCAAUGGGCGGAAGCCUGAUGCAGCGACGCCGGGUGGGUGAUGACGUCCUUCGGGUUGUAAACUCCUUUCGACCGCGAGGAAGCCACCUGGUUGGAAGGGUGGUGACGGUAGUGGUAGAAGAAGCACCGGCUAACUACGUG